GUGGCUCCUCCUGGGCACUGUUGUGUAUUUGAUUGUCGUGGUAAUAGAAUCUUGUGUUGCUUUGGCAACUUAGUUGGAUUAUUAGGGGAUAUCCCAGCCAGUUUUGGCUGGCUGUUGGUUAGUUCUGUGUGUGGCAAUAAAUGGCUGUUUCAAGGUUUAC